rnacentral:rRNA from 1 species
AUGAACGCUAGCGACAGGCUUAACACAUGCAAGUCGAGGGGCAGCGAGAAAGUGCUUGCACUUUUGUCGGCGACCGGCGCACGGGUGAGUAACACGUAUGCAACCUGCCCUUGUCAGGGGGAUAAGCGAGGGAAACCUCGUCUAAUACCGCAUAUAUGAUUUAGAGGCAUCUCAUAAUCAGGAAAGAAUUUCGGAAACGGAUAGGCUCGCGUGACAUUAGCUAGAUGGCGGGGUAACGGCCCACCAUGGCUACGAUGUCUAGGGGUUCUGAGAGGAAGGUCCCCCACACUGGAACUGAGACACGGUCCAGACUCCUACGGGAGGCAGCAGUGAGGAAUAUUGGUCAAUGGUCUGACGACUGAACCAGCCAUGCCGCGUGAAGGUGACGGCCCUAUGGGUCUUAAACUUCUUUUGUAAGGGAGCAAUAAGUCUCACGUGUGGGAUGAUGAGAGUACCUUACGAAUAAGCAUCGGCUAACUCCGUG